UUGCAAAUAAACUGGACUUGACAGUUCAUACACAUUUUCUGAUCAGAGCUCUUUUGAUGAUCGCUCCAGACCUUCGACUUUGUUGUCCUUAUGCCAUGUUGUGACUAAUUUGGCUUCAUUCUUUUGAAAGAUUUGCAUCUAAGCUACACACACCAGAGUCAUUGUUGAUGUCUUAGGUUGUUAAUUUAAUAUUUAGUCACUAUGCUUCUUUUUUGUGAAGUGCACCAGUCCUUCCCGCUGCAAAACACCCAGUGAAAAUGAUGCUGCCACCCGGUGAUGUACCCUAUGUUUUUUUUUCCUCCAACUUCCAAGUCAUUUCACCAAAACUUUUCUUGUUUUGGUGAAACAUUAGGACAUGUGUCUAUCUGUAUUUAUUUAUCAAUUUGACUAAAACCUUUUUUUUCUAUAAGCAAGGACCCCCAACCCCGACAGCGAGAAGUACAAACUCCAGAUUACACCUGAACCUAAAAUCCUUCCACUGGAAUGCAAGAGAGAAGGAAUCUUAGUUUUCAUCUGUCUGUAUGAAGAAUAGUAGCACAAUUCAGCCCCUUCCCCACUUGUUGCUGCACUGCUAGUUAGUUCGCUAAAUAAAAAUGCUGUUUUCUCUCACCUCAGUACAACACAUGGCUUCUCCAGAUGCUGCAUGGUAGGACAAAAACAACAGCAACAUUUCCCACCGUCGUGCCGAUAACAAGGUGCAAUAUGAUCACAGCCACCUUCAUCUCUAUUAAAACCCUCCUCUUCUCUGUCUUUGCCUGUUUCAGUCUCUCCUCUCCUGCUUGUUUUCCCAUCAGCACUUUAAUCUUAAAAGCAGCUGGCCGUGAUGAGGAGGAUCAAAGCAGCGCCGCGCCGAGCACAGCUGAAAGGAGCUAGACAUGAAGAGCAGAAGGAGAGGAGGAGGAGGAGAUUCCAACCUGUUAUGCAAUUUACAGGGAUUCUUCACAAGGUAACAACAUGUGGAGCAGGAGUCCACAAGGAGCCAGAGGUUUGUUUUUACAGUGUUUUAUCUUUCGCUUUCUGUCUAAAUCUGUCAAAGUGGAUCUGGCAGGAAGAGCUUUUUCUGAGAAACGAGAGGGAUGAAGGUUCUUGCAUAGCCACUGGGAGCUGUGACGUCAGUCGCCUUUAACUCUGUGCGCACAGUUUUGUGUUUUGCUGCAGACACAGGCGGAUGUAUGAAACGGUGUUUUUUUUUUUUUUUUUUUUUUUUUUCCAGAUGAAUGCCCGCCUAGAUGCCUAGUUCUUGAGUGAGAUAACCCUUUGGAGCAAGGCAGAGGUGGAUUACAUGGCUGUUGAGCUCAGCGUUGCAGCCAGGGAUCCAGUCAGAAGAGCGGGAGAGAUGGUUAGAGACACGAGGAGAAGAUUUCAACUCUCUAUGGACGCCCCCUCUUCUUCCACCAAGUCAUUUCCGUUCUGGCAGCCUCCUCCACUAAUAAUAAAUCACUUCCAUCGAAGGAGACGCUCUGAUUAUCCUGUACUCACCUAAAUAAGCUGCCAUGUUUUCCUGCUAAAAGCGAUAAAUGGCUCACAGGCACUCCAUUUUGAAAGCUUGGAAAAUUAAAUAAGCAACUUCUUUUUUUGUGCUUUUCUA